AACCAGAGGGUUUUAUCCGCAUAGACAAGUUGGCUCAUCUAGGAUUUUUAGCUUAUACGAUCUUGAGGUAGAUCAACUCUAUAAUUUUCAUACACAAGACAUAGUGUUUUACCUCCUCAAGAGGGAUCUUGAGGUAGAUCAACUCUAUAAUUUUCAUACAAGACAUAGUGUUUUACCUCCUCAAGAGGGUCCGAAUCUACUUAAAACACCGUCUCAUCGAUCCAAGGUCCAUAGCUCGAGAGCCUAUACCCGAGAUCUGUCGGUUUUAACACCAACACCAGGCAAACAAUUUGGAU
rnacentral:lncRNA from 1 species